rnacentral:rRNA from 1 species
AUGAACGCUAGCGGCAGGCUUAACACAUGCAAGUCGAGGGGCAGCAUAAUGGAUAGCAAUAUCUAUGGUGGCGACCGGCGCACGGGUGCGUAACGCGUAUGCAACCUACCUUUAACAGGGGGAUAACACUGAGAAAUUGGUACUAAUACCCCAUAAUAUCAUAGAAGGCAUCUUUUAUGGUUGAAAAUUCCGAUGGUUAGAGAUGGGCAUGCGUUGUAUUAGCUAGUUGGUGGGGUAACGGCUCACCAAGGCGACGAUACAUAGGGGGACUGAGAGGUUAACCCCCCACACUGGUACUGAGACACGGACCAGACUCCUACGGGAGGCAGCAGUGAGGAAUAUUGGUCAAUGGACGCAAGUCUGAACCAGCCAUGCCGCGUGCAGGAUGACGGCUCUAUGAGUUGUAAACUGCUUUUGUACGAGGGUAAACGCAGAUACGUGUAUCUGUCUGAAAGUAUCGUACGAAUAAGGAUCGGCUAACUCCGUGCCAGCAGCCGCGGUAAUACGGAGGAUUCAAGCGUUAUCCGGAUUUAUUGGGUUUAAAGGGUGCGUAGGCGGUUUGAUAAGUUAGAGGUGAAAUUUCGGGGCUCAACCCUGAACGUGCCUCUAAUACUGUUGAGCUAGAGAGUAGUUGCGGUAGGCGGAAUGUAUGGUGUAGCGGUGAAAUGCUUAGAGAUCAUACAGAACACCGAUUGCGAAGGCAGCUUACCAAACUAUAUCUGACGUUGAGGCACGAAAGCGUGGGGAGCAAACAGGAUUAGAUACCCUGGUAGUCCACGCCGUAAACGAUGAGUGCUAAGUGUUAGGGGAUUUCCGCCCCUUAGUGCUGCAGCUAACGCAUUAAGCACUCCGCCUGGGUAGUACGACCGCAAGGUUGAAACUCAAAGGAAUUGACGGGGGCCCGCACAAGCGGAGGAACAUGUGGUUUAAUUCGAUGAUACGCGAGGAACCUUACCCGGGCUUGAAAGUUAGCGACGAUUCUUGAAAGAGGAUUUCCCUUCGGGGCGCGAAACUAGGUGCUGCAUGGUUGUCGUCAGCUCGUGCCGUGAGGUGUCGGGUUAAGUCCCAUAACGAGCGCAACCCCUACCGUUAGUUGCCAUCAGGUGAAGCUGGGCACUCUGGCGGGACUGCCGGUGUAAGCCGAGAGGAAGGUGGGGAUGACGUCAAAUCAGCACGGCCCUUACGUCCGGGGCGACACACGUGUUACAAUGGUCGGUACAGAGGGCAGCUACCUGGUGACAGGAUGCGAAUCUCGAAAGCCGGUCUCAGUUCGGAUUGGAGGCUGAAACCCGCCUCCAUGAAGUUGGAUUCGCUAGUAAUCGCGCAUCAGCCAUGGCGCGGUGAAUACGUUCCCGGGCCUUGUACACACCGCCCGUCAAGCCAUGGGAGCCGGGGGUGCCUGAAGUUCGUGACCGCAAGGAGCGACCUAGGGCAAAACUGGUGACUGGGGCU